rnacentral:rRNA from 1 species
AGCAUGUGGUUUAAUUCGAAGCAACGCGAAGAACCUUACCAGGUCUUGACAUCCUUUUGAAUGGUCUAGAGAUAGAUCAGGCCUUCGGGACAGAAGAGACAGGUGGUGCAUGGUUGUCGUCAGCUCGUGUCGUGAGAUGUUGGGUUAAGUCCCGCAACGAGCGCAACCCUUAUCAUUAGUUGCUAACAUUCAGUUGAGAACUCUAAUGAGACUGCCAGUGAUAAACUGGAGGAAGGUGGGAUGACGUCAAAUCAUCAUGCCCCUUAUGACCUGGGCUACACACGUGCUACAAUGGCCGGUACAAAGAGUUGCGAAACUGUGAAGUUAAGCUAAUCUCAUAAAGCCGGUCUCAGUUCGGAUUGUAGUCUGCAACUCGACUACAUGAAGUCGGAAUCGCUAGUAAUCGCGAAUCAGAAUGUCGCGGUGAAUACGUUCUCGAGUCUU